rnacentral:rRNA from 1 species
CGCGUGAACGAUGAAGGUCUUCGGAUCGUAAAGUUCUGUUGUUAGGGAAGAACAAGUACCGUUCGAACAGGGCGGUACCUUGACGGUACCUAACGAGGAAGCCCCGGCUAACUACGUGCCAGCAGCCGCGGUAAUACGUAGGGGGCAAGCGUUGUCCGGAAUUAUUGGGCGUAAAGCGCGCGCAGGCGGUUCCUUAAGUCUGAUGUGAAAGCCCACGGCUCAACCGUGGAGGGUCAUUGGAAACUGGGGAACUUGAGGACAGAAGAGGAGAGUGGAAUUCCACGUGUAGCGGUGAAAUGCGUAGAUAUGUGGAGGAACACCAGUGGCGAAGGCGACUCUCUGGUCUGUUUCUGACGCUGAGGUGCGAAAGCGUGGGUAGCAAACAGGAUUAGAUACCCUGGUAGUCCACGCCGUAAACGAUGAGUGCUAGGUGUUAGGGGGCUUCCACCCCUUAGUGCUGAAGUUAACGCAUUAAGCACUCCGCCUGGGGAGUACGGCCGCAAGGCUGAAACUCAAAGGAAUUGACGGGGGCCCGCACAAGCGGUGGAGCAUGUGGUUUAAUUCGAAGCAACGCGAAGAACCUUACCAGGUCUUGACAUCCUUGGACAACCCUAGAGAUAGGGCUUUCCCUUCGGGGACCAAGUGACAGGUGGUGCAUGGUUGUCGUCAGCUCGUGUCGUGAGAUGUUGGGUUAAGUCCCGCAACGAGCGCAACCC